GUGCUCCCUUCGGCAGCACAUAUACUAAAAUUGAAACGAUACAGAGAAGAUUAGCACAAGGAUGACAUGCAAAUUCAUGAAGCGUUCCAUAUUUUU
ensembl:snRNA U6 U6 spliceosomal RNA